UUUUUUUUUUUUUUUUUNCAGGUUCUUCGUGACCUUUGAUGAUUUGUGCAAAGUGUAGAUGGAGGUGCUCUGAGGCUGUGCUGCUUGGAUUCAAAUCAUUCUGCUCCUUUGCCUUCCACCACUGCAACGUGCACGGGCUCUACUCCUCCGGUUCUGAAAAGGAGGAAGAGGUACAGGAGAGAGCAAAGGCAUUACUGAGGAGUUGAGGUUCGUCGGUAUGAGGCUUCGGAAUGUUAAUGGGGAAAAGUUAUCUGGUGAUACUGGGGAUUCAUCAAGUGAAGAUGGAGUAGAGGAGAAAGAUGACGGAAAUUUGGUGUUGAGCGAUGAUGAUUAUGAUGAGAGCGGGGAUGGUAUAGAGACUUGGCAACCGAGCUUGAAAGGAUGUCUUAAAUAUUUGGCUGAUAGUAAGUUCAUAUUCAGCACUGUGGAGAAAAUCAUUGAUGAACCUAAGCAACGUUGCUUAUAGUUACUUCAGAAAAUCAGGGUUGGAACAUUCAGAAUAUCUUGCAAAGGAUCUAAAAUGGUUCAGUGAACAGGGUAUUGUGAUACCCGAACCGAGCAGUCCAGGAGUUCCUUAUGCCAAGUAUCUGGAGGAACUUGCUGAGAGGAGUGCCCCUUUGUUACUUUUCCAUUACUAUAUUAUAUAUUUUUCACAUAUAGCAGGUGGCAACAGGUAUGUGAAGUUGCUUUCACAAUGUGAUGCUACUGUGAUCUGAGAUAACAAGGUAUUUAUUGUAUUACCUCUUAGAACCUUUUAUUCAAAGAUGAGUAGCAGCCUUUCUCCAAGGAAAGGAGGUGCCUCUGUCGGCGAUGUGCUAUAUGAGUCAUGAGUUAUAUACCAAUCCUUUGGCAUUCUUUAUAUCAUAAAUAGUGAUUGAGUUGUGGCUUCCUUCAUGCACGAGACGCCAGAAAAGAAAUAAUUUAUCCUAAAACUUGUUACGUAAAAUUUUAAAAACAUGUAUGAUGUAAUUGCCUGUUAUAGCUGAUAAAAAAAUUGUUAUGAUUUAUAUUCUUUUUCCGAAGGAUUCUGAUAGACUCCUUGAAGGUAGAAAGCUUGAAUUUUAUACGUGGGCAGGGGACGUAGAAGAACUGCUGAAAGUGCUCGUGAGAAGCUUAACAUGCUUGGAGAGCUAUGUGGACGCUAAUGCAGCACUGAUCUCAAGAUGAGAAAAAUAAAUGCUCGAGAGAAGCAACCAAGUCAUUCCGCAUUUUGGGAAAGAUAGUUCGUUUGUUUAUCGUAUGAUCAGCUAUUUUAAGUGAUAUGACUUUGAAGGUGUUCCCGGCACAAGACUAGAAUAUCAAGGGGCCAACAAACUGGGGUAGGACUUGACAAUGCUCAGAAAAUGGUUCUCUUUCAAUCAAUCAAAGUUGCGAUGAAUCUACAGGGCUGCGCUCAUUCAGAGGUUUUGAUACUCUGAUUGGAAAUGAAAAAGAGCAGUGAUUUUGGACAGUGGUGGCUGCUGAAGGCAUGGAGCCAGUGACCUUCCCCAACUUGAGGAGCUAACCCCAUUAUUUUCAACAUUCCAUCAAAUGCCAUCAGGUAUGAAAUUUUGCACAAUGAUCGAGACAAUGUCUAGAACUCUUACAAUACAUACUUCAUUUGUUCACACUAUGAAUUAUGUUUUUAUGCUAUUGAACUCCAUACUGUUGUAGUGUUGAUGAUUUUGUAGGAAGGGAAGGGAUGGGAAGGGGGAGAAGUAAAUGGAAGCACGUGAAGGUAAGCAUUAAUGGAGGUAGCAGUAGUGAGGUUCUGUUUAGUCAAAGAUGGGUUUGGUAGCAGAAAGUUUGGUUUGUGAGUGUGGCUUAGUAGUGGGUUUGGCACUUAGGGUUGCUUUCCUUAUUCCAAAAUAGAAAAACGAUUCUGUUUGGAUGCAACUCUGCAUAUUCUUUGCAAAUGAAUCAUUCUAGAAUGGAACUUCCUUUUUCUGCAUGGAACAUGCAGAGUUGCUAAUGGAGGACGGAGAAUUUUUUGCCCUUUGACAAUAAAGCAAAUAACUCUGCUC